GGGUGAUGGGAAUGUGGGGCUGUGUGGGCGGUGGGAAUGUGGGGCGGGGGGUGUCCUCUGGGGGGGGGUGUCCUUUGGGGGGGGGUGUCCUUUGGGGGGGGGCACACAAAGUGCUGGGGGGCAUUGGGUCUGUAGGGACAGCUCAGUUCUUGGGGUCUCCUGACGUCUCGGGGACGACGUGGUCCAUUGGGGCACCCCAAUCCUUGGGGGCGUCUGCGGCCGUGGGGGACACCGAAGUCAGCCAUGGGGAUGUGUGGGUCUAUGGGGACGUGUGGGGCCAUGGGGACAUGUGGGUCUAUGGGGACACCCGAAGUCUUGGGGACAUGUGGGUCCAUGGGGACGUGUGGGUCCAUGGGGGCACCCAAAGUCAUCCGUGGGGACAUGUGGGUCUACGGGGACACCCAAAGUCUUGGGAUAUGUGGGUCUAUGGGGACACCCGAAGUCUUGGGGACAAUGUGGUCCAUAGGGACAUGUGGGUCCAUGGGGACGUGUGGGUCCAUGGGGACGUGUGGGUCCAUGGGGGCGGUUGGGUCCAUGGGGAUAUGUGGGUCUAUGGGGACAUGUGGGUCCAUGGGGACACCCGAAUCAUGGGGACCCCCUAAUCCAUGGGGACACCCAAACCCAUGGGGCCCCCCCCAAUCCAUGGGGACCCCCGCCGUCAUGGGGUCACCCCAAUAUUGAAGACACCCAAACCCAUGGGGACCUCCCUCCCCCCCCCCCCCCAAAUCCAUAGGGACCCCCCCAAUCCUUGGGGACCCCCCCCAACCCAUUGGGACCCCCCCAGUUUGAAGACACCCAACUCAACGGGACCUAUGGGGGUCCUCCCGCACCCCCCCCCCCCCCCCAUCUCCUCCACCCAAAGGAUGAGGGGGGGGGAGGGGGGAGGAGGGGGCGGUUUCACCCCAUGGGGUCACUGUUGACGAUCGCAGUGGGGCGGCCGGGAGGGGGGGGGUGGGGGUGGGACCCCCCCCGGGUGGGAAAACAGGCGGUGCCCUUUUGGCUCUGUUCGCACACCAAAACAAACCCCAACUGACAUCAAAACGGCCACGAGGAAUGCGGCCCCCCCCUCCCCCCCCCCACAUAUGGGGCUUCAAGGGGAUGGUGGGGGGGAGGGGGAGGGGGGGGGGGGGCGCUGGGUUCGAUUUGUUGGGGGGGUUGGCGCGGAUUGGGGGGGUCCCAAUGGGUUGG
rnacentral:lncRNA from 1 species